GGAAUAUACGGUACCUUUAAUUUAGGAGUGAUAUAAGGUACAAUUAAUUUACAGUUAAAACACCUUAUGGUAUAAAAUUGGUAAUUAGGUAUAUUAAAUGUAAUUAAAUCAAACCUUAAACAUUAAGGGUAAUAUAGUUUCCUAUAUGGCAUAGGAUUGUAAAAAUUCCAUUAGUAAUUAGAAACCUAAGUACUGAAGAUCGGCUGCUGUGAGAGAGAACUGAGAACCGAGAAACCUAAUUAGAUCUGCGACUGCGGUCUGGCUGUCUGGGAGUGCGAUAGAGAUGACGUCACGGCGACUUCACGACCUCGGCGCCGACGACUCUCAAGUGUGACUGCUGGUUUACUCAUUUUUUACCUUUAUUCUUCGAUCUUCAACUCUUCAACAGGUUCAUAACUUUUCAUUCUUCAAUCUUCAGUUUUUUUAGAAUAAUAGCUGUAUUGUUGGAGAAGGAAUAUUAUUUUAGUAAACAUCUCGAAAUUUCUUGACUACUGUAUAUGGAAAAUUUAUUAUGAAGCUUUAAGCACCUAGUAAUUAUGAAUGUUUACUGUGAGGUACUCAUGUUAAUUCUGUCAAUAGAACAUGAUUUACCUAUGUUCCCUAAUUGUAUAUCCUAUUUUGUAAGUAGCUUAAGCCUUGAAAUAUUAUUAUCCCUCACGAAAAAUAAGCAUCACUUCCAAACAAUAGAUGUGAGAUUCACUGAUUGAGGGUCUGUAUUUCGUAAGUUAUCAUAGUGGUUUGUUUACGAGGAUGCCUUUGUUAGCAUUAAAUCAUGUUUCAUUUGUUUGCAAUUCUGUUCCCAAAACUCAAAAGUGUUCAAUUCUAUGAGCAAGUUCUCAAUUUGUUAGCAUUAGUCUUAAUUUGUGUUUAUAUUUGUUUUAAUUUUGUGUAGAUGGCAGAUGAAAGUAGAGUAAGUGAUGUCGGUUCAACUGAAAGUUUACCUAUUACUGAAGAUAGAAGAUAACGGAGAAGUUCGCAAAGUAGAGUGCAAAUAUUGUGGUUGAGUCCAUAAUAUUCAUACAAAGAGGAACGACACAUAUUGUUUAAGAAAGCAUAUUAGGCGUUGUCUUGAGCGUCUUCCUGAAAUCCGUAUUUAAGAAUUAAGACUAAGUUGAUUCGAGACUAUUAGUGUAAACUUGAAUUGAGGGAUGUCCUCUCUAUUUUUGUUGAGCUAUGUGUAAUUCUACUGCUACUCGUUAGAGUUUUUGCUUUUGUUUAAUUCUGUUGCACUGUGUUAAACUUGAAUUGUGGUUAUUUGUGAGUUAGGCAGAAUUGGUAGAUUUGAAUUGUGCACUGUUGCACUCGUUAAACUUGAAUUGUGCACUGUUGCACUCGUUAUUUGUAAGUUGGGCGAAAGUUUGUCAUACAAUGACGAUUAUUUAGUGUUGCUAGCUUGCUUAUUUGAUUAUUUAGUAUUGCUGGCUUGCUGGCUUUUUUUUAGGCAGAAUGGUAGAUUACUUAGUGUUGAUGCGGUGCUGCCUUACACGCCUUUUGUUAUGCAGAAUUGGUAGAUUUGAUUAUUUAGUGAUGCUGCCUUUUGCUUAAUGCUUAGGCUCUUAGCACUUAGCAGUACGUGACACAUGAAUAUGUAUUAAACCGAAACCGUGCCGAAACCAUACCGAACCAAAAUAAGAAAUACCGAACCGUACCGAAAUAUUUUGGUAUGGUAUCUGAUAUGUACAAUUGAUAAACUGAAUACCGAAAUACCGAACCGAAAUUCUUAAAUACCGAACUGAAGUACCGAACGUCCACCCCUAGUUAAAGGACUUAGCUUUAUGCAUAUAGGAUAAGCAACGAGAGUAACCUAGAGUUCGGUAGCAGACCACAGUAACGAUAAAUUAAAGUAAGAGUUAUGGUAUAGUAUAGACUACUUAGAUGUAGUAAAGCUAAUGACGCCCAGAGGGACAAAUUAUCAUAAUUUUGUAUAUGUUCAAAAAGUGAGGCCUAGAGAUUGGCUAAAAGCUGGAGGAAAGAGGAGAGAAGAGUCCCAUAGGCGCACAUACAAGGUCAGAGUCGUACAAGCCACAUGAUAGAAGGUAGCAAUAUUUACGAGAUUGAAAGUAUUCCGACCACAAAUCAUGGUAUGAGAAAGAGGCCUAAAGGAGGGAAAUGCCCAUACAUUUGGAUUUAUUCACAGAACAGUUGCCUAGAUGGCAAGGAGAGUACUAAAGUAUUCGGAAGACAUAGGUUAUGAAAAUGAUAAGUGCAUCAGUCAACAUUCGAGGAAGAAUGUUCCAAAGAGGGGAAUGAUGUUACACCCCAUAUUUUCGUAUGUGAAAGUAUGCCAUAAGUGAAUUGAUAAAAGUUCGGAAAUGAGAUAUUACAUCCCGCAUUUUCGUACGUUAAAGUUUUGUCGUAAUUUAAUCAAUAUAGCUCGGGAAUGAGAUUAUUUUAAGAUUAUAAGUAUUGUACUAUUUCAAACAAGUGAUAAGUAAAUUUGUGAAGGUUAGAGGGUGAUCGAAUUAAAGAAAAUGAAUUUCGUCGAAGUUUGAAAAUUUGGGGAUNNNNNNNNNNNNNNNNNNNUGUAUGAAGUAUAUUAAAAGUUUAUUGAUUCUUUUAUUCUUCAAAAUUAUACGUUCUUUUGCUAAUAAAAGUAAAUCCAGUUGAUACCAUAGCUUUAAAACAAUAACAUUAUGAUUGAAUUAAAAAAAAAAAAAAAAAACUCAGUUGCAACACAAUUUUAUCAAUAAAAGUUUAGCUGUCAUCUGAAUAUCCAAACAAAAUCAAAUUAUGACACUUAACUUAGUAAUACAAGUUACACUUUAUAGAUUAAAUAGGAUUUAUAUAUAUAAAUAUAUAUUAUUCAUGAAUUUUGUAAAUACCAUACAUUUGUUGUCCAUUUUUUCCCCAAAGGCCACCACUCUUUUCCCCAAAGGAUUGCACAUAAUUAAUCUGAAUUAAUUGUCAAAGAGUUCUUGGAUGUGCUGGAUAGAUAGAGAUGGGAUACUUAUUAUUCCUUUGAGUUGCUCCAACUUUUGUGCCUUUUUUUGCAUAAAAUAAUGAUCUCAACUAUCAUAUCAUCACGCAACUCAUAUUAAUUACUAGUACUUAGCUUUCAACAAAGUUCUUGUUUAUUUUUUCCUAGGAAAAUUCUUUCUUAUUUCUAUUUGGAAAAUUAAAAACACAGCUCUCCUUUUCUUUUCCCAGUCUUCAAUUAUGAAUCUGAAGUAUGCUUUGUGCCCAGCCUUUUCUGACUCCUUAAACAACAUGAACAUUUCCUUCUAUUUCUAUUAAGUAUUUUUUUUGGGGUGGGUCGGUGGGUGGGAGGGGAUCUAGCUCCUCGUUGUUACACUUCAUUAUGAGUUGCAUCCGAGGGAUACUUUGUGUUUAAACAAUUUAACCUUAAUAGUAGGGUAGUGUAUACGCGACCUUACCCCUUCUUUAAAGGUAGAGAGGUUGUUUCAGAUAAAAAGAAAGCAAUAGCUACGAGCCAUUAAACAUAACAAGAGAACUUUUAAACUUUCCAUAAAGUUGGGUCCAAGCACCUAGAGUUCAACCAAAAGUACACCAUUACAAAAGUGGAAAAUCCAGUUGAUAAUUAGAAUAACUAGAGAACACCUUAUCAAAAAAUUAGAGUAACCAGGAAGACAUAACAGUAAGAGUAUAAAGCCAAGGAUGAAUUGCCCGCGGGUGAGUUGAAACUUGAAUCACAAGACAACUUUGAGUACAUUACUGAGUCCCAGCCAUGUUCAUGAAAUGCCAGUACUUCUACUACUUUGCAUGGAAACAGCCAUGUGAGAGGAUAGACUUGAGGCCCUGUGAUCAUGCUGCUGCUGCUGGAAAAUGACGCUGUUAUGCGCAGCAUCCUGUCGGACGCUCAAGAAAGCAGAAGUGUGAGCCUCACGUGUAACCAAAUCCUGAGAAGAAUUCAAGUCGUUUGGAAUUGAUUCUUGAAGCUUCUUUGUGCUAAGAAAACGCCCUCCGGACCCUCUAACCCUCUUUACCGCGUGAAGAUGCCGUGAUUCAUGAAGAUACGGCUGUAUGCAGUCAACAAGGGAAAUGAACGCAGAUUAAGCCCAAUACGACAACAACAAGAGACUCGGUGUAAUGCGUAGGCAGACCUAACCUCCUACCUUGUGAAGGCUGAUUAAGCCCAAUGUAGAUCGAAAAUUAGAAGUUAUAGCAAGUUUAAGCUUAUAAUAUUGGCUAAAAGGUAGGUUUAAGCUUAUAAUAGAUGAGACCAUUGGCAGGGACUACACUACAUGCACAGUUGCAUGAUGUUUAUUUUCACACUUUGAGUUGCUUCAAUCUGUAAACAUGGUACUAAAAACCUUUAUAUCUUCCUAGUUAGACUAGAUAGGCAUUAUUAACCAGCUUGAGAAACUCUAAACACAACAUAACCCGAAAACUCUAGCCUCCUCCGGAGAGGCAAAAAUAAAACCUUCUAGUCAAGUACCUAUUGACAUAAUCAUACAUCCCCAGUAAAUGUGAAGAAACUCUCCAGUCUAUCCGUUUUCCCCAAUUGGUGUCUCAGCAUAGUGCAUUGGCAGAAAAUCAACUCAGACAAACAGAUUUGAACUUGCUUCACUACUAAAACAUGGGAAAAGAUGAAAAGUAACAUAUACCUUUCUAGCUUUGACAAGUUUGUUUUGAGCCUCAAGCUUAGCACGCAUCUGUCUUCGCCUUAAGAUCCCAUGAUACUGUUUCGCAUUUACAUAAACCGGUCCAUCUUCUGCAAGAUCGAGGGGUAGAGGGACCCGUGCAGGCGCUAUGCUAAUCAUUUGAGGCUGAAUUGACCAAAUGUCAGAACUAAAACUAUUUUGAGACUGGACGAAUCAAAAUACAAUAUUCAUUAUUAUUCUCCUUUCCGAGCAAAUACAUCACCUAGUGCACAGAUUGAAUCAAAUGUUUAAAGCUUGACUCAGAAUACAAAUAGUGCACAUAUAAGUCGCAAAACAAUGAUAAUUCCUACAUACAAUGGCUUAUGCACUCUUUCAGGUUAACUAAGGACGAAGUACAGUUUUAGCAAAAUCAAACAACUUGAAGUUGUAAAACAUCAUGCACAUAAGGAUAGGAACAUAAAAGGAAAAUCAAGAUUAAUUGCAUUUUAGUAAGGUAAGAAAAACAAGCCAAUACGAUGUCAUUGCAAAAACAUAAAAGAGUUAAAGUGCAUUUAGCCUUCUCUCAUAUCCAUAAACCAAGACUUGAUAUGUCAAAAAGACCACAAACAUUAACGGAUCACCUUCUAUUUAAUAUAUAAGGGCCAUUGUGAAAAGUGAUCUAGUAGGGAAAAAAGAAAAGAAACUGAAAAUAAGCAACACGAGAGGCAAAUAUGAUAUUACAAUACUCACAAAAACAUGAGGUCCGUAAGCAGCAUAAAAGCCACUGAGAUAGGGGUCGGAGUAACCAAAAGGAGCGUGGCUCUGCAACAUUAAAUCUUGAUAGAUUAGUUUAAUACAAAUGUUAAAGCAAAAUAUCCUUGGAUAGCAGGAACUUACAAUUGAAUGGGCCAUUUCACUUUGUGAACAAUCGGUGGGAUAUUCUGGAUAUCUAAUAAAAGGAUUAGUCUUGAUUUGAGCUUGCUUAUUCCUUUUGUAGCUCUCGUCGUGAACUGAGGAAAGCAAAACAAGCCGUAAGAUACUCCACUCCUAAUAGCAAAUAAACUAUCCAGGAAAAAGUCAAAUUCUGUUUUGAUAAAGCUAUCAGCACUAAACUAAAUAGCUUUUCAUAUAUAGAAUUCAGCCAUUGUCAGCACAAGUGAGUCAUUAUCGUAUAAAAGAUCAUGCUGCAAAUGUAUAAACGUUAAGCAAGCACCAUCUAAACAAGUCGAGAUGUGCUUUCUCAGACCAAUUAAGACAAAGGAUCCAGAAAAUCCACUCUUACUGAAGUGUUACUAACAGCAGUCAUUAAUGAUUACACUACUAUAAAGUCCGAAAAGAUUCACUUAAUAAUCUGCAAGUAAUUACCAGAUCCAGAAGAAGCGCAUUGAUCUUGAGAACCUGUUUUCCCCAAAGCAGUCACUUCUAGCGGGGAGUUACUAUUUGAUUGGGUGGAGUAUGAGUCGUCGCCUUGUAAUCCCAGACCAAGAGGCUUCAUCUGCUGACAGGGCGGAGGUUGAAAUACCACUUCUGAGGUUAAAUUUUUCGGUAGAAACUGUGAAGACUGCACUUCAUUGGAACUCCACCAUGUUGAGCUAUUGACAGCAAAAUGAGGCACAAAGCAGGUGGAAGUUUGUUCUAAGCUUCUAUUUGGUAAAGCUUGAGCUCGAACAGCCAUUUGCUUAUCCGCACAUAAUUUUUCCUAGGCAUAAUCCGGUGAAACAACAAAGACGAGUAGCAGGCUGCACAAUUGACCAAAAAAUGAAAAGCAUAACAUAUUAAAAUAAAAUACAGAACACCCAUAACAUGAUAGAGCAGCGAGGCAGAUAAAUCAAUUUGAACUUGAUAUUUUCUCUUGAUCCCUUAAAAUGACUGCUUUAGUGCAUAAAGCAGUAUUAAUGUUUUAAUACCAUUUAUAGUUGGCAACUUAACAUCUUACGCAACUCCACGAUAUCCAUUCAAGCAACUUGCCCAGAAUUUAUUUCGAUAUUCAAACUCUCAUGUAAACACCAAGCAGCUUCAAGCUACCAAACUUGAGGCAUCAAAUUUUCGAAGGUACAUUAGUCUUCAACUCUAUGGUCCCCCCAACCCCACCCCCCACCCAAAACAAUAACUUCCAAAACAUACAACGCUAUUUUAUGCUCUCUCAAAAGCACACAAGAUUUCUUCUUCUUUAUUCAAAUCUCCAUCAAAAUAACAUAUAUUACUGUAUACGGUUAAAAUCGGGCCGACACGAUUUUACUAUUUGAUCGAGAUCAGGGAGUUGAAUCGAGGGUUAGCCUCAUAGUGGAGCAGGUCAAAGUGACGAAAACAAGGUACCGAGUUCGAGAAUCGAAGUGCUUGCCGAGAUCGAGGCCGGCAACGAUCGAGACUACACGGGGCAGACUCUGAGCAAAGCACAAUAACAGGAAAGCGAGAUAUCCAUGACUGGUUGAAGAUCAUGGCGGGAAUCUCAGAACGGAUCAAAUCAAAGACAAGUGUUUAGGCUAAUCAUAGGAUUUACUUCCGUAAUUAAAAUUGUACCAUAGAUAGGAUUCCUCUACUAUAUAAAGAGGGUCCUAAUCAUUUUGUAGACACCUUACACUCUGAGAUAUCAAAGCAAUAUAACACCUUUUCUAUAGUUCAUAUUCUUGUUCAUCAGUUUGUUAUAUUUUAACUGUUCUUGCACAAAUUAGUUCGAGGGUAUUCAACUCGAGGGCUGAAUUCCGUUCAAACACUGGUUUGCUUUAUAAUAUUGUUAAUUUCUAUUAUUACUCUUUGCAUCUAUCAAUUGAUAUUAGGUGAAAUCACAUAUCCUUAAAACCACAUUAUAAGUUUAAUUGUUAUCCAAUUUUAAGGGUAAACAAUUAAUGGGCUACUACUAUUGAGUUAACCUACAGAGCUCAGAUUAUAACUAAAAACAUGGAAAUUCAAGUUAAACCACAAAUCAAUCAAGCUGGCCAAACAUGCCAUACAAAGACUUGAUUUUUUAACAAGACAAUUUAAUCAUACUGGUACUAAGGUGGUUGAUGGGAGCUAGGAAUAAAGAAGAGGGUAGGUUGUCAUUUUGCGUACCAGGUUUACAUACAGCUUCAAACAAUUAAUAAUCAAUAACAUAACAAUAGCCCAUCACCUACCAAAUAACUGUCCUUUUUUAGUUUAUAGAGCAAACCUAAAGUUCCAUCAUCGACCAGAAAAUACACAGAACUACUAAAUCAUGCAUUCAAUUUUUAAGGUUUUUAGCAUUGAAUCCAUUGUAUUUUUAAAGUCAGAGAUUCAUACCUACAAUUUAAUGCAAUUUUAAGGAAAUUUUUACACAUAUAAAAGCACCGGGUUAAGAUGAACCCGGCACCACCAAUACACUGCAUCCGCCUCAGAUCACCAUGCAUCUUUAAUACUCAUCAAUACAGCUCCAACCAACCAUAAGUCCAAUUAAUGACAAAUGACAAAAGAGAGAAAAUCCUGAAAAACAGAAAAUGCCUGAAAACCUAUUUAUUUUCUUUUUUCCCGUGCGCUAUCCCCCCCCCCCCAAAAAAAAACACACACACACACACCAGGAAAACCCAGCUUACCAGAAGGAACAAGAACAGUAGCUGAGAAGAAGGAGAAAAAUAAAUGAGGACAAAGAACAGUAGCUGAGAAGAAAAGUCAAAGCAAAUUGUAGAUCUCUUUUACACAUAACAGGCACCAUUCCAAAAUUCCAUCUUGUUAAGUUUCUUGAUAUACCCAAAACAGACUAUAUGAACCUGAAGUCAAAACCCCAGUUAGUAUCCAACCAUAAACAGUAUCACAUAUUAAAGUAAAGAUAAUAACUUUACCCAUUAUUUUCCUUUUACACGUGCAUAACCAUUAGCAGAAAACUAACCACAUGCAUUCAACAUUCAAUAAGCAGAAGUGGAGAACACAGAGAUAUAUAAUACCCAAAAUAGCAGAUUUUACUGCAAAAACAAAUGGCAAAACCGAAACAAACAGAAAACAUGACUAAUAUAAUAAGAGAAGAAGAAAAGAACAAGUCUACGUGUAUAUGAAAAUAUAUAAUCAUCUCAGAACUUGAAGUAGGAUAAAUAAGUGGGAAAACUUUAAAUUAAAGAAAUGGAGAAAUACCUUUAGAUUAGGAAAAGAAAGGAAAAUAAACACAAGAGUCGCCUGUUGGGAUGAAAUUAAGCAUGUUCCCUUCCUUCAAACUCUCUCUCCCUCUCUCUAUAAAAGAGAUAGUAGUAUUAAAAAAAACAUGCUGCUUCUGCUGUUUAAGAAUUAAAAAGAAAAUUCCAAUAGUAGCUAAGUAAAUACUAAUCUGUUACGUGAACCUAUUUCCUUUUUAGUCCGUUCCAAAAAGAAGGAAUCCUUUCUAAAUUUGGUAACAAUUUAGCUUAAAGUUACAACUCUACCCUUGAUGAGAGGCUUUUAUAACUACACAAAUAUUCUGGGUCCAUUUGGACUUGUUUAGGAUCACAAAUUUUAAAAGUCUUCAUUUUUUUCUUAAACUCCGUGCUCAGUCAAACAAGUUCACGUAAAUUAAAACAAGUUCACGUAAAUUGAAACGAAGGGAAAAGUAGAGUAGCUUGCUAACACAUAAAUGGCAUCAUCAGUUUUCAAAAUUUUAACCAUUUCUGACUUCUUUCUUUUUUUAAAAGAUGAGAGUGUUAAUUGGCUCAGAGGUCUGUACUGUAACACUAAAAUAGUAGUAAUUACUUUAGUCUUUACCCACUGUGUUUAGCCGCCCUUUACUGUUCCACUGUAAUUACUUCUGUCACGCGCUUAAUCUUCAUUUGCAUGACCUAUCUCUUUUUCUCUUUCUUCUUUUUUGGACGUGUGAGGUACACGCUCGUAAAUUGUGGAGUGUGUUUUGUAAUCCGAAUUUUAAAUGGAUUAAUUUCGAAACGGUUAAGGUUAUUGGUUCGUCCAUUGAGCCUAUUUACCAAAAUGCCCCACAUACAAGGCAAUGACUUAUAGUUUAAUAUCGUUUGAUUGUGGUUUAGUUAUAAAUAAUACUACGUAGGAUUAUCGUACAAUACAUGAAUUGUUAUAUAGUGAAUAAAUAAUACAUGUAUUAUUAUUUAAGAUUCAUGCAUGGUCAACCUCUCAUACUUUCAUAUAAUAAUACAUAAAUUAUCGUUUAAUUUAUGCAUGCAUGGGUUAUAUAUACACCAUAUGAUUUUCGGCAUUAAACGCCCCAUAGGUUAUGCAAACUUUAAUAGCGUAAACCAAAAAUAGUAUUAGUUAUAUUGAGAUUAAUUAGUAAUGCAAGAUUUAAUUUAGAAACUUGAACUUUUUAAAUUUAUUUUGUUUAAUAACUUUAUGAAAUGCAUGUACUUACGUGACUCUUCUCUUAUCCAUUUCGAUAGACACAAGGAGAAAUUGUCACCUUUAACAAGUUAACGUAAGAUAGAUUCAUAUAGAUUAUAAUAUUUCGAGUGAAAGGGAACCUUUUCUAUAUUUAUAUUACAGUAAUUAUAGUUUCCUAUGUACUCAUACUUAGGUUCGUAAUGUGUAUGUUUAUUUGGUCGCAACAAAAUGAAUAAAAUAAGAUAACUUGAAGUAGAAUUCAUUUUUUUAAAUAUAGUUAUUAGUUCUCUCUAAAUAAACAUAGGAAUUAGGAACCUAAAGUAUGAGUAUAUAUGAAAUUUGUUUAACCUAUCGAACAUUAAAAAGGAAUUUUCAUCGUAAGAUCUUGUGACACAAGCCAAAAACUCAAUUUCCUAUUUAGAGAUUACCCAUCUAGAGACGAGUCCUAACAUUUUAUCUUAAUUUUAUCCUUUAAAACACUGCACGUCAAUUUAAUUAAAUAUAUCAAUAAUUGAAAAAAUUCCCCCUCAAUAUAUUAAACUUAGUUUUCUAGAGACUGGGAGAAACUUCUGCCUCGCAUUCACACUAGUACUAGUUAAUUAAUAUUCUCUCCAUUUUAAAAAGAUGAACAUAUUUGACCGUGCAUGGAGUUUAAAAUGGAACAAAAGACUUGUGGUUUAAAUAACUCAUAAAUAUUUAUAUGAUCAUAAAUCAUCUCAUUACGGGUAAAAUAAAUAGUUUAAUGUUACAUUAUUUUCAAAUUUAAAAAGGAAUCGCUCUUUCUAAAACAGACUAAAAAGGAAAGAGGUAAAUUUUUUUUUAAAUGAAGGAGUAAUAGUUACCUAAGUCAAAGUAGAGAGAGAACAACAACAACAACAACAACAACAACAACCCAGUAUAAUCCCACUUAGUGGGGUCUGGGGAGGGUAGUGUGUACGCAGAUCUUAUCCCUACCCUAGGGUAGAGAGACUGUUUCCAAAUAGACCCCCGACAUCCUUCCCUCCAAGAACUUCCCACCUUGCUCUUGGGGAGACUCGAACUCACAAUCUCUCGGUUGGAAGUGGGGGUUGCUUACCAUCAGAGCAACCCCUCUUGUCAAAGUAGGGAGAGAAGUAGUUAAGAUUUGGGAUUAAUGCUAGACAAAAAACUAAAAAUAAUAUAAUAAUUAUUCACUCCGUUUCAAUUGAUGUGAUUAGUUUGAUUCGGCAAAGAGCUCAAGAAAUUUCUUUUUUUGAAACUUGCAAUAUUAAAUAUUGUUUAAAAUUUGAGUGAUCAUAAAAGCUUAUCAUUAUAUAUAAAAUAAAAAUUUUAACCUUAAAUUAUAUAAAAGCAUGUCAUUAUUUCUCAAACAAACUACCGUCCCAAAACUUAUUCUUGGCUCCACUUUGAAUUUAAACUUAUUCGAUGGAGGAUGUAAAAGAAGAAAGUUGACAAAGAAGGCCAGUCUGUAUAUCCACGCAAUAGAUUGGUAGGAGUAGUUGUUAAAAGAAUCAAAAUUCUGGGCAGGUUUUUUAACGUAAGAACAGCAACAUAGGGGAAAAUUUUAUUUUGUUUUUCAUGCAACUGACACUAGUUGUAUGAGAUAACUUUUUUAUCGCAUAAUUUUGUGGACCCAGAAAUAUAAGAUUAAGGUCCACAAAUUUGUGAGAUAAAAAGAAGUCUCAUACAACGUGUAAAUUGUACGAGACACAAAAUAAAACUUCUAAGGCAUCGGAAAUCCGGUGAUCUUUUUUGGCGGUUUGAGGUGACUAAACGACGACAAAAUAAGGACAAAUGUAAUCCAAAUCCCACUGUUUGUCGUUUUUGGCAAGUAAACCUCACUUUAAACCAAUUAAAUGGAAGUGGAGUUAAUUGUUAGGCAUUUAACAGUUGGGCAUAGUAAAUAUGGGCUACACGAUUUUUUUUUCUUUAUUUCUCCCCUAAGGUACAUUACCCACGUUAAAGUCUGACUAAAGUGUUUUAACGCUCGAACCCAAAAUUUCUAAUUAAAUAUAAAGAGUACUUACCGCCAGGGGCGGACCCAAGUGGUGAGAAGUGAGUUCAACUAAACCCGCUUCGUCAAAAAAUAAUACUAUGUAUAUGUAUAAAUUAUGGCUAAAGCAGGGUAAAUUUUGUAUAGAAAUUAUUUUUGAACUCGCUUAUACAACUUAUGUUAGUUAUGGACUUCUCUGACUGAACCCACUUGCACAAAAUCCUGGGUCCGUCACCGCUUACCACUUCAUCAUAACACUUGUUGGUAAGGCAUGACGAUUCAAACAAAAUAAAAAGAUCUACUUGCAAAUUAAUGAAAUCCAUUACAUAUGUCUUUCUUAAUAACGGACUAAACCAACGUGAAAUGAAUUACUCGUUAAAAGGUUAAUAUUUGAUUAAAUUUGUUGAAGUCGAGUUCUUACAGUUACUUGGGGUCCGAUUCAGAGUUGAAGAGAUUUGCGGCAACAGAAAGCAACUUUCCGAUUAGUUGUAUUAUCUGAGAAAUUAACACAUAAUUUAGCAUUUUUAAAGAUACAAGAAACAAUUUUGUGACUUUACUUGGCAUUUUUAGUGAUACAAGAAAUAAUUUUGUGACUUUACUAAUAUAACGGAUAAAAUUAGAUUAUAUGUAAGAAAUUAACCCUUUUUCCAUAUGUACUUCAAACGCAUUUUUUAAAGACAGUAACUGACUAGGGAACUAGAAGGGAUCAAAGUUGAUUGCACAAAAGUAAAUAAAGGUAUUUUCGGCCAUCAUCAGUUUUAUCUACCCAACUUGAAUAGAAAAAAAGAUAAAUUGACUGAUUACAUUCUUGAUACAUAAACCAUAUAAUAGGACAAGAUAAAUACUUCCCUAUCUAAAAGCAAAUCAACCAGUUCUUUGCUGCUUUCGAAUUAGUAUGUGCACUAAGCUAUGAAGGAUAUAAUUAUGACAUAAUUACAGAAAAAAUCAAUGAAUGUCCAAAAUUAAUAGGAACAUGAAGUUAUGCAAACCUAAUGGCAGCCAAACUAAAGCAUAGUGAAAAUGGGUGUAAACAAGCAUGCUUCUUGGAAAAUUUACAGUUCUUCGACACUGAAGUAAGCAGCUUCAGGUUUCCCGGCUCUUGUUCAGAUAAAACCGAUGUUUCAGCAGGGAGACGAGAAGCCAGUUGUAUUGCUUAGCACAAGAAGCUCCCCAAAGUAAUUGGUUACGCGCACAUGAAAUUCUGCGUACAAAAGCAGCAUCCUAAGUUGUAUGGAACUACUACCAAUAUAGUAUAGCAAAUAACUAUCUCAGCUGACAUCGAUUCAUUCAGUUAAGAAAAUGAAGCCUUCAUGCACCUAAUAUAGAAUACUUCUAAGCUACAAAAGUUGAAGUGCAUGAUUUUCAUGCAACCUAUAACCAGUGAAAGUCCAAAAACCUAUUGAUCUAUUCUUUUACCUUUUCUAAUCAUAACAACGAAAGAAGGAACUUGAAACCAUAUAGCAUCAGUCAUAUUGUAAAAAAGACAUGGCAUAAAUCUCACCAUUGAAAUGUUAAAGCUUUAGUUUAAUCCUUUCAGACCACUUGAAGAUAUCCGAGUACACUUGAUCUCCUCCCAAGUCUUCUCCAGUAGCCCCAGCAGCUAUUCUGAUGAUAUCUUCAAUUAGUGCAAAAUUUCCCAUUAUAUCGACGUGAGCACCACUUUGCGUUCCCCUGCCUUCUAAAAGAGUAGCUGGAGGGGCGUGAUUAUACUCUCUUAUAAAUGUAUGGAUGCCUGAUGGAUUGAAUCGGGUCUUUCCUCUCCAUCCUUUCGCACACAUGUAACCUGCACUUAAAAUAGGUACAGUUUCAUCCCCAUCGGUAUGAAAUACACCGCCUUUCAAGCAAGGACUUUCAUUUCCACCCUCAGCUGAAGAAUCUAUCUGGAAAGGAAUAUAGCAAUCUCCAGCAGGACUAAGUUUGUAUACAUAUGCUCUUUCAGUUGGAAUUCCAACUCCAUACAUUGAGAAGAUUUCCAUCCCUGGUGCAUUGGGCAAUCUGUAAAUGGAACAUAAGACUGAGAACUAGCUAUAAAUAUGCCAAAUAGAUUGCUGUAACAUACAAUGAACCAACUCAAGAGAGAUGGAAGAGCGUCUUUUGCAACAUGUUCUAUGAACUACUACUUGCAAACACAGAAGCAAGCAUUAAUUGCCAAACUGGAACUUUGGGACGGAACCCGAUAGUGAAAGUUGACAAGAUGGAAUCAUAUUUGCAAAAGAAUGUUUGCAGCCUCUAGAACCCUGAAAAUAUUUCACCUUUAUAUCUACGUUAUACAACAAAAAUUGGUGAACCAAAAGAGGUCUGAAUCUCAGUUGUGUCCGUAAUAUAUUUGCAUACUCUAUAGAUGGGCUUCAAGUCAAGAAGAUAAAGAUCGGAGCUGGCCUAAGAGCACGGACAUAUCAGAUCAAAGAAUAAGUCUACAGAACAAUUUAGAACCUUACUUUGUUUCCAGGGGAUUUGACCAAUAUUUGUAGUGUUCAUAUUUUUUGUCAUUCAGAUCAUCAGCAAUUCCAUAUGAAAAAUGAGCACUACCACGCUUCAUCAGCUUUGGUGCAACAAAAUGAAGAAGAUCCAAAACAGAUCCAGCUGUAUAAGCUUUGUAAUCUGCCACAGCUUUGACACCUCCAAUACCCAUAUCAUGGUACUCAGUCCACACAUCACGACAAGUUGAAUUAGCAUGACUUUUACCUUUGAUAGCAUCCUGGAGAGAACCGAACAAUGAACAGGGCCAGUUAAAACUUAUUUUCUUAUUUCUAAGGAAACUUAAAACUGGAAAAGCAGAAAUGACAGUCAGAAUAGUUUGCUGAUAACCACUGCAUAUGGAAGUUUAAACAAACUAGUGUAGAGCACAUCUGUCUAUUAGAGACAAUCUCUCUAUCUUCACUAAGUAGGGGUAAGGUCUGCGUACACACUACCUUCCCCAGACCCCACAUGUGGGAAUAUACUGGGUAUGUUGUUGUUGUAGUGUAGAGCACAUCUGAAACAUGAUAAAAUCAAUUCGUGGAUAGUUGAAUACAUCAAAUUUGGGAUGAAAUAACUGUUACUUCAUGGCAAUCUGCAAUACCACGUGUAACUCUCGACUCUUUAGGAUGCGUUAUACAUGUCAAAACUACUUCACCCAGCAACAGGAUUAGCCAAAGAAAUAUCACAAGUUUCCUGAUAUGCACAGUGACAGUAGAUAGUCUUAACGAACGAAGAAUUUGCAGUGUACUACUGUACUUAACAGCAUAGUUAAUCUAACUAAUGACUGCAUAAGUGCUUAUGUUUUUUAAAAAGCAGAUCAAACGACCAAUUUCGCAUUAUGACCUGUCUUUAAAGACAGUUACAGAAAAAGAAAACAUCAAAUGAAAGAUCCACCUAUGAGAGUACUUGCACGUUUUCAACAUAAUAAAAGUUACAAAAUAUCUUUCGACUCCAAAAGCUUGAUAGAAUCACAGACCUCAGCAGCCAGUUCAUAAUUGAAACUACACUACAUAAAUAUGAAACUAGAAUCACCAAUAGACAUUCCAACUAGAGGCUUAUGUGAAAGGAAGAUUUUCUGUUAUCACUCAAUUUGUGUCUCAUAUCACCACGCCUUUCCCAUCCUCUACAUUAGAAGAUAGAGCGAAUACUGCAUAUGGAAAACUGACACACGAAAAAGAUAAAUGUAUAUUCCAACUAGAGGCUUAUAUGAAAGAGAAGAUUUUCUGUUCUUGCUCAAUUUGUGUCUCAUAUCACCACGCCUUCCCAUGUCUACAUUAGAAGAUGGAGUGAAGGCUACAUAUGCACUGCAUAUGGAAAACUGACACACGAAAAAGAUAAAUGUAUAUUUCACUCGUUUGUGACAGCCUGGUAGGUACUUUUUAGUCAGCAUAUGAAAAUUUAUGUCUUAGCAUCUGAUCCUACUGGUAGCUAAUGGGUUAUCAUGUUAUUUUGGAGCAUGAUAGUUUAAAUAGUAUUGUAUUGGCAAUAUAAAUCAUUGACAGUAGUUAGUGAAAAUUUAAAAUUCAAGAACAUUACUCUGAAGUCAAUCCUCUCGAUCUCUGAUGAGUGUAAAUCAGCUACAUGCUUCCCAAAUGAUAUUAUUCUUCCAUACUUCACACGAGUAGCAUUAACCGACUUUCUUCCCCCAUCACUCUUUGCCAUCUGGGUGCUGUUGUUCUUCGGCUUCUUUUCGUUACACUCAUAGCCUUCUUCUGGGGACCAAUCCAGCCCACCCCAGAUAGUGUCUCCGCCUUUUGGUAUCAUUGACAUUGUUGAAUCCCAUGUACGAGUCAUUCUCAUUACAUGCUGUAAAGUUUGAAAAUUGAACAUUUCACUUUCCAAAAAACUUGGGGCCAUAGACCUGCAGAAGGGGCAAAUUCUACUUCAGCCCAGGAAUACCUCUUGCAGAUAAACAAAAGACCAGAAACUCCAAGUUAGGUGGCACAUGAAAUAAACUACUUCUGCAUGCAUGUGAACAGUACAUUCCCUUCACAAGAGUAUGCUAAUACACACAUUACAGGAGAUGAACUGAUCGAGAAAAAGGCAUCAGAAUAGUUUCAUAGAGGAAAUUAACUAGUUGUUUUUAAAGGGUACAAAAAGAUUAACUCUUAUUUUAUCUGUACUUUUAACACUAGGAGCAUUAUUGUGGUACAUCUAACUCUUAUCGGGCGAAGUCAUGAUAUACAACCUCAGUUAUUCAGAGGCAACUAUCAAUAAGAAGCAAUAGGAACGGAAGGCUGAAAACAGAGUCUAAAAUUGAUUUAGUAUCUUUGUACUUAAUGGAGCACAGAUUCAAUUUCCAUCUCUCUCCAUUUAAAACUGUAGAAUGCAAAAGAAAAAGCAAAGAAUUUAUUCGUUCAAAUCUAACAGAUGCAAUAGCACAUUGUGAAAGACCAAUAACAUUCUCUUUUAUGAAGCUAUGACAGAAGACAACCACAGAAAUGCUUAAUCAGAUGAAGGAAGAGUUGAGAGAGAAACUAGUAGCACGAGGAAAAACCUAAUAAGAAAAACAGAGGUUGAAGUGAUCUUUUGGCACGGUAUCGUUUGUAGACCAUUUUAGACAUCUGAAGAUAUUGCCAUAUAUUACCGUAUAACAAAGCAAAGAGGCCUGCACAGAAAUGCUCCCUUGAACUACAUCAUAUGACUUUUAUUCGUAGGUAAAAGUUUUACCUGAUUGCAGGUACAACAUUAUCACCAACAGGGAAAGACAAAGAUCCUUUCUGAACCAAAAAUAUAAGAUAAGCCACUUUACUAGAAAGGGAGGAAAGGAGCCAAAACUACAAGGAUCUUUGGCGUUGGGAACUUGUUCAUUAUAUGAGAAUGCAAGUUAUAAACAAUUUAUCAUACAAAGAACAUCAUCAAAUUACAUACAACUAUUAGACAUCUCACAAGAAGAAAGACAAAGGAGCAGUACAUAACAUAUUUUAAUAAAAACAAGACUUCAUUUUUCUUUAUCAGCAAAAGUCAGACGAUUCAUUUAAGAGAAAGAAACCUGGCAGCAGCAAUAUCCUUGGCUUCAGCUGAGAAUAAUCCUGAGACUGCUUUUGGGACACCCAAAAAGGGGCCCCCAAUGUUCAUUACGGCUUUUAUAUGUUUAGCACACCAAUCAGAUCCACCUCCUCCACCCAUUGGAGACGGUGCCUCCACCCAUUUCAUGAAAUGCAAGAAGUAUAAAACACCCAUUGAGUGCGGAAUUAUAACCACCUUCUUCCCACCACUCGAAGCCACCAUGAGUUCUAUGUUACUUUUAAUCCUGCUUAGAGUUUGAUCUCGCACCUGAAGAUUUUGAAUAAAAAGAUGUGUUAUAAGAUUGCAAGGGUAGUUGCUAGUUGGGCUGAUGGACAUAUCUCGUAAUUCAGAACUGAUGUUGGAAGGAAACAUCCUCCAGCAAAUUUUACAUUAGAACAACAACGAAAAACGCACAUAUGUUGCAGUCGGAGUCACAGUACCUCAGUGUUCUGGAAUGAGAUUCUCCAAUCAUAGGCAGCCAUAUACAUGUUCUUCUCCUCAUAUCCGAUGCGAGCCAAAUUGGCAAUUAAAACGGCCCAAACGAAAUAACCUGGAGCAAAGUAAUCAGCUGCGACAAGUCCAGAGACAGGUCUAAUCCUUAUACCAGAAGGAUCUAAUCCAGUUUCAUUAUCAAGUGACAUAUGCUCCACCCAGCAAAGAGGUCUGCAUUUUAUUGGACAAAAGGAGAGCUUUUUGUUAUGUAUUGUAAGCAAAAAUUCAGAAGCAGAAGAUUCAGUAAUAUCUCAAUUGAUCUUCAUCGACUAUUAUGGUUCCAACACUGGAGAAAUUUAAAGCCUGACCAAUAAUUAGUCAGUUGACGUUAGAUAACCCUGAUUGGUUCACUCUAAAGCAAAUUUCACUUCCAAUCGACCAAACUAAGCAGUGAAAUCACACUUUUUCAUUAGCAAGACAAACAAAAGAAAAGAUUUAAAGAAAAUAAGGAUGCUUUAUUUCCAAACUAUGAAUUACAAACUUGAGAACCUAACCACAUACCUACUUUAUUUGCCUCAUUAGCCUACUCCACCUAAAGGCAUUUGUUUGAAAUUUUCCAAAAAACAGAGUUUGCAAAAACUGUUCAGAAAGCUUAAAUGACUAAGUUUGCAGAGUCUGUUUUAGAUAAUUUCCGAACAAAUGCCAUAUCUCCCACCAAUCCAAUAUCCACUUCUUCUUCUUCUUUUUUUUUCUUUUUUUUUUUUUUUUGGUUGUUUUUGAGUGAAAACUGAACAAAAAAGGUAAAGGAGACAGUGAAUACUAAUAGCCAACAGUAGUUGUUAACUUCACAAGAAACUGUCAAAAAAAAUACUAUUACUAGUAAAGAAUGAAUCUUUUAGGCUGGUAAAUAGCCAAUUUCAUGAUAAAUCCUCACAUUUCAGUAAAGAAUAAUUCUUUUCAGCUUUCAGAACCUUUCAAUUAACGACUAAGAACACAUUUCUCACGUAAUUUCCCUGAAUAACAUCAAAAGAUCCUUUUCACUUACCAUAUUUUGAUGCACAAAUAAUCCACUCUGUAGUGUAACCAAACUCCACAACAUCAUAAAAAAGCUAAAGCUAAAGCACACAAAUUGGAAUUACUAAAAAAAGAAAUAAAAGCUAAAGUAAGUACCUUUUGUACAAUUCACCAAAAGUACCACCCCAAAGCCUCUUCCUAAACAAGCCUUCAGCACAUUGAUGUCCUUCCCACAACUCAAGUCCACCAGUCACAAUUCCCGGCACGAAUACAACCGGAUGUUUAGCUCUUAACCCUUCUUUAGCCAAUUUAACUCCCGGCGGGUCCGGUAACGGCCCCGUUAUCGCCUCCGUUACAUACUGCGGGAACGACGCCGGCAUUGCGUUGUAAAGGAACAAUAAUAACCACCAUAUCGAACAUAUACAACCUAUAAACCAACAACAUCCGUCAACACAUCCCCAUCUCCUCCUUCUCCUUAACCUCCUCGAACCUAAAUUAUUCUCCUUAUUCUUAUCCUUAAAUUCUUCGAACUCAGGCUCUGAAUCCGAGGUUUUUUUGGGCUCUGUACCCUUCCUACGCCUUAGAAUCGACAUGUAUGUAUUUUUUGCUAUAAAUACACGUAACAGGUACAGCUGAAUUAAUGAAUACGAAUAUUCACUAUUUCAGAUGUCUAAUUAACUAAUUCAUGAACUGAAUUUAUGUAAUUCGCGGUUAAUGACUGAGAAAGUGAAAGCUGCAGUUAACAGCAGCUUGAGUAACAGCUCAUUUAUUCACCUCUCAGCUAAUCAAAUCUGAAAAACUCAAACCCUAGGGCCUAGCUCUGCAAAACAUAUAUAGUCAUAUACAUACAAAUACACAUGUAUGUAUAAUGUCAGAGCAAAUAAUAUUAUUAAGAAAAACACAGUUUCUAUAAAUACAAAAAGAAGAAGAAAAAUACAGAUUUGUAUUUCAUUCAAAAUAGUGUUUUGUAUGUAUUGUGUAUAUAUAGGUGGCGGAUGAGGUGGGUGGGGGUGGGGGGGGAGUGAUCGGAGCAGGAAUCCGGGGAGGGGAUGGAAGCGGAGAAAACUAUAGAAGGUGGAAGAGAGAUGUGAGGUGGGGUCCGUGAGUGACACGUGGAGAUUCUUAGGAGCUUCGUGAUGUACUUUGUGAUUGAUUAUCAGCCGUUGAUUGAAUCGGUGAGGUCAAUUUAAGGUUAUUUGACGGUGGGGAUAUGGUUUUUAAUUAUGGGAGAAUGGCAAGAGGGGGGAACACGUUAAUUAAUGAAAUUGGAUAUAUAAUUUUACUACUACUAGUAGACUAGUACCCGUCCGUUCCAGUUUACGUAAACUUAUUUUUUUUUAGUCCGUUCUAAAAAGAAUGAUACAUUUCUAAAUUUGGAAACAAUUUAGCUUAAACUUACAAUUCUACCCUUAAUGAGAAGCUUUUAUAAUCACACAAAUACUCUGGGUCCCUUUUUAACUUGUUUAAGACUACAAAUUCCAAAAGUCUUCAUUUUUUCUUAAAUUCCGCGCCUAGUCAAACAGAUUCACAUAAAUUGGAACAGAGGGAGUAGUAUCUUUUUUUCUUCAUUCGUUUAUUAUCUAUAACAAUAAAAAUAAAAAAAUAUUUUUGAUGGAUGACGUUUUAAAUAUUUGUGUAAGGAAGAUAUGGAGCACAAUCUCUAUGACUAUGGAAAGAUUGGAACUUUGUGCUUUAUUAAAAAAAAAAAAGAAGUCCACUGCAUAAGGUAUUUUGCGAUCGCUUAGGGUUCGAGGAAGGCCGCAUUCCAAGGAGUACGAUGUAGACAUCGUACUCUAAUGAUGCAAAUAUUAGUGAUUGUUUUUACGAUUCGAACCAUAUCACAUGAGUUCGGAGAAAGACAGUAUCACAAGGGGUAUGAUAUGGACAUCCUACCCUAAUAAUGCAAGCAUUAAUGACUAUUUUCACAUAUCGAACUGCAUCUUAAGAAAUGUGAUAUAGACAACCUACCUUAAUGAUGCAUCUAUUACUGACUACUUGAACGACUUGAACUCGUAACUUAUAAGCCAUAUUGAGGCAAUUUUACCGUUAAUCUAAGGUUAUCUUCAACUCUAUGCUAAAAUAGUUUAAAUUAAAAUAAUAAUCUUUUGACUAUGAUAUUGAAUUUGUUUUAAUUAUUUAUUUUAUUAGUGCAACGAAUUACUUUUUUCUUAUACAGCUAAUCAAAUACUAUUAUAUUUUUCUAUACAAAAGCUUAUGGUUAGAUUAAUUACUCCAAACCACGACCACACACCCUAGUUUUUCUUUAGUUUUAAUGUUUUUUUGGUUGAAAGCUUGGAUUUGUGUGGAAAUGGGUUUAGAGGAGUGACGUUUGAUUUGUCAAUUUGUUUAAUAUGGUUGGCUUGGAAAUUUGGAAUCUUUGUAUGAGUUCCAGGCUUCCAGCCAAAAGCGGUUGUGGGCCUUGCCACUUUCCACUUGGACUUUUCUGCCUUCCUUCCUCAAUAUCAUUGUUGUUAUUUAUAGUUGUAUAUAACUAAGUAGAAAUAAUGUAUGAAAAUUAUAGAUAAGUUGUAUAAUAUAUAAUUAAUUGUAUGAUUAUUUAAUAUAAUUAUAUGUUAAUGAUUCAUACAUAGUAAAAAUAAAUUUUAUACAACUAAUUAUAUAUUAUACAAUUUAUCUAUAAUUUUCAGCUACUAGUUUAAGUUGCGGACUUUGCCAAAACUCAACACUAAUUUUGAAUCUCUGUAUGCUAUUGUAGAUUGAAUUGAGUUGUUUGAAGAAUAUCUUGGAAUGUAUUAAGGACUCAAAGGAAUUAAGGUAUGUUAAGGCAUUUACUUCUUUCUUUUUUGGCAUGAUCUAAAGUGAAAUGAAUAUGCUAUUUUAUAACGGAUCUACUACUAGCAACUAAGGUUGUCCAUAUUGUUCUUUCCUUAUAAAAUUAUUCUAAGCAAGUGUGUAUGAUCCUUGAAUCCUACUGAGGUUCAUAUUGAGGGUAUGGAUGUCCAUAAUGUUAAUCUAAGGUGCAACGACAUUAGGUCACUCCGAAAGUUUUAGAACGUGAUUCCAUGACUCUAGCAUGCAUUAUAUAUAGUAUCUAUUUUACUCUACCGAGCCACACUAUAGUCGGCCGGGUACGACAUCUAUUUUGCAACCACUGAUCACUUGGGUUUACCGAGCUCCACAUGGUCGGGUACAAUUCUACUGAGCCUUAUGAUGGCCGGGUACAUCAUAGAAAUCCAGCAACAUAUAAAUAUCAAUAAAAAGACACCAUAUAGCGACAACAAGUCACAACUACUUCACGACGAGCAGCAAGUUCCGAUUGGAAUCUAUAUACCCCAUAUCACCCCUUAUAGACUUCUUAGUUCACCCUAACAGUAUAAUUAACAUUCUAAUAAAGUCAUUAAUCAAUGAUUCCAGCCUUAAACCAUAUAUUUAUAACAACAAAAAUAAUCCACGACAUUAUUUUUACUUAAUUAUAUACAACUACAAUAUCAUACAACUUAAAUAUAAUUUUUAUACAAUGUUGUUCAACUUUCAUACAAUAGUUAAAUAAAUAAAAUAAAAAUAUACAAACACCAGAAUACAAUUAUUCUACAAUUUUACUAUAAUUUCUACAGUAUAAUGUAUGUCAUGUCUUCUUCUUAUUCUUUGAGAUUCAAUCUGAAAUUUAGUCAAAAUCAAGUCAAUCUUCACCAAAAUCCCUCAAAAUUGAGAUAUAAACUUCAAACCAUAUUCCUAAUUAUUUGCAACAACACCCAAUCCAANNNNNNNNNNNNNNNNNNNNNNNNNNNNNNNNNNNNNNNNNNNNNNNNNNNNNNNNNNNNNNNNNNNNNNNNNNNNNNNNNNNNNNNNNNNNNNNNNNNNNNNNNNNNNNNNNNNNNNNNNNNNNNNNNNNNNNNNNNNNNNNNNNNNNNNNNNNNNNNNNNNNNNNNNNNNNNNNNNNNNNNNNNNNNNNNNNNNNNNNNNNNNNNNNNNNNNNNNNNNNNNNNNNNNNNNNNNNNNNNNNNNNNNNNNNNNNNNNNNNNNNNNNNNNNNNNNNNNNNNNNNNNNNNNNNNNNNNNNNNNNNNNNNNNNNNNNNNNNNNNNNNNNNNNNNNNNNNNNNNNNNNNNNNNNNNNNNNNNNNNNNNNNNNNNNNNNNNNNNNNNNNNNNNNNNNNNNNNNNNNNNNNNNNNNNNNNNNNNNNNNNNNNNNNNNNNNNNNNNNNNNNNNNNNNNNNNNNNNNNNNNNNNNNNNNNNNNNNNNNNNNNNNNNNNNNNNNNNNNNNNNNNNNNNNNNNNNAUAUAUACACUUUGGAUGUUGAAUCCUUUUUAACUUUUUUUUGCAUGUUAAUUCUUCUUCUUCUUUUGAAUUUUUUUUUAGUGAAAAUCCCACUUCCAUCACUAUCUGUAACGUGCCGAAGCGUUAACCAAUUGCAAGAUAUAUCUUUUUCUUUUCUUAUUUCCUAGAAGAAGAAAAAAAGACUUGUUAUUUUGUACUAAUUGGCAUUUCGAAAUGUCUAAGUGUACACUUUUUCUGGUACAACUUUUCCAGAAGAGACUUCUGAAUUCUGAUGCUACUAGAAUUAUGUUAUCCUUUCCAACUUGGAAUUUAUUCUCUAAUUAAUUUGCUUUCCAAUGGCAAAAGCUGCUUGAAAAAGUAGAGUGGCAUAUCCCUCAUCUCACUCUUUUUUCUAUUUAUGAUCCUAAAUAGAAAAAAGAGACGUACCAUACGACUAUCAGUCAUGUCAUCUGUUUCAUUGGCAAGGUGCUCAAAGUGGCUCUGAAAAUUUGAAACGGUGCUGGAUUGUCACCACGAAACCGCCCUAUUUCCACCAUAGCUUGUUUGUGGUGAGGAGUCUGCGCUGCCGGAGUUUGGUUAUCGUGUGGACCUCUCCCCUACCAAUGGUGAGUGACUUCCAUCGUUGGAUCUCGAGGUUGAUUCAUCACCUCCCGUAACAGUGAACGGAUAUCAGCAAGGAUCGAAUCCUUCACCCCUUGAACUGAUUCCUCCGCGAGAGACUUGAGUUUUUGGUCGUCCAUUGAAGACCUCUGGAUGAAAGCACCAAUGUAACAAACUUAAUUAAAUAAAACAGUAAUCAAUUCCACCCAAACUUGUAUUGAUAAGUUGUAACAAGAAUUACAAGUAAUUGCUCUUUUGAAGUUCCAAACAAACUUACAAAGGAAUACUAAAAGUAACAGUAGCUAUAGAUAAGAGAAUUAGAGGGAGAGGAGGAACUCAGAAGGAGGAGAAGAGAACAAAAUCAUCCAUAACAAAUUGUCUGCUCGCAACAACCCCACUCAUGAUGCUUUAUACUACUGCUUAGCUUAUUUUACCCUUCUUCACGUGAUCUUCCUUCUUUUCAAAUGUAAUCAGCAAGUCUUUUAGGAGGAAUGACCUUUCUAGAAGUCCUCCUCCGUGGCAGUUAGGGGUAUUCAUGGUUCGGUUUGGAUCGGUUUUUCCCUAAAAAGAAAUUAAACCAAGUAAGUCGGUUUUUCAAAUAUUAGAACCAAACUAAACCAAUUAAGUUGGUUUUUUCUCGAUUCGGUUUAUGUCGGUUUUUUAGUUUUUUUGAUUAUUUGUCGGUUUUUUCUUAAAUAUAAGACAUACACUACCAAACACACAUUUCGGCGACCACAUUUUCAAUGUAACACUAUCAAAUCAAUUGCCCUUUGAGAAAUCUAUUAUUUACCAAGAUAUAUUGAUGAUACUUGAAUCAAAUAGUGAUGAAUAAUUUAAGGACUCAAUUAAAAAUAUAUUAUUUUUAACAUGAUAUAGAUUCUUACACUAAACAAAAGAAAACUAUCAAUUAAACUAGAAUGUAAACGUAAAGAACUGUACUAAAAGUGCAAACGAUUAAUAUUUAGUAUAAAAUUUUUAAAAUUUUGUAUAAAAGUAUACAUAUAUAUAGGUGUAAUAAUAAAUUUUAAAAUAGCUACUCCUAUAUUCGGUUUGGUUCGAUUUUUUUUAAUUAAAACCAAAACCAAACCAAAUUUGAUCGGUUUUUAAAGUGCAAAACCAAACCAAAAAGUAUCAGUUUGAUUUGGUUUUCGGUUUGGUUCGGAUUUUCAGAAUUUUAUGAACAUCCCUAGAGGCAGUCCCAUGUGCUCAUCUUGCGUGGUAACCCAGUCAGCUCUAUUCUCAUUCACAACAUUACUCCCUCCCUAAAAUGCAACCUUGCCCUCAAGGUUGGAGUCAGUUGGAUCAUCAAAGGCAUUGGAAUCACCAAGUUGCAGAGGAGUCACCUGCUGGUCUGGAGUACCAACACAACGCUUCAACAUACAAAUAUGGAAGACAAAUUGAAUCCUUGCAGAUUCAGGAAGUUCUACACGAUAUACAAUGCUACUAAUGCGUUUCAACACCUGAUAGGGUCCGAAAUAACGCCUCCCCAACUUAUGGUCUCGCUGCAAGCGUAAAGUUGAUUGUCGGAAGGGUUUAAGUUUGACAUAUACCCAAUCACCCACUUCAAAAGAAGUAUCAAUUCUAGACUUGUCAGCAAACAACUUCAUACGAUUCUGGGCUUUUAAUAAAUUGUGCUUGAGGAUGUGCAGCACCUCAUCCCUCUGUAGGAGAUAGGACUCCACCAACUCACUUGCUGCGCUUACCAAAAUGUAUCGAGCUACAGUAGGUGGUUCACGACCAUAAAGAGUCUGAAAGGGGGUCACACCAGCUAAAGUUUGAAAAGAAGUAUUGUACCAAAAUUCUGCCCAUGGUAACAUCGCGACCCAUUGGGAAGGUACCUCGACGACGUAGCAACACAAAUAUUGCUCUACACAUUUGUUAAGGGCCUCAAGUCACGCGAAAAUUACUUAUAGGUCACGCGAAAAUUACUUUGUCGUUGCUCCAAAGCUCCCAUUUCCUUCUUGAAAAACAAGAAGGAAAUGUUAAUUAGUGCGUCUUGCAUUUCAGUUUUUCAGUUCAAUAUUUUAGGAAAAAAAUGUUCUAAAUGUUCUGAGGUUAAGAUUUUUAGUUUAAAAUUUCAGGACAAAAUAAAUACUGACUAAUCUCUAAAUAGCAUCCCUUAGAAUGGUUAUUUGUGCACUUGCCUCUAGAUUUUACUGUAAAAAUUACAAGGGGCGCCCUAUUUGGUCGUCCCCAUUUAACCUAUACCUUAAUUUUUACAACUUCAGGCGCCUCUUAUGGCUUGGUAUAACGUUGUGUUUUUUCAGGUACCCGUUAUGAUACUAGUUUGAGGAAGCAGAUUAACAAGAUGGAGGUCAGUCAGCACAACAAGUAUUUCUGUGAGUUAUGUGGAAAGGUACAACUUUGCUUAAAUGUUAUUUGAUAGUUUUCUGGACCGUGUAUUCAUAGUUGCAUUGAUAAUAAUGUUAAUUAUAUUCUGGCAUUAUAGUACGUUGUGAAGAGGAAGGCUGUUGGUAUUUGGGGUUGCAAAGAUUGUGGCAAAGUCAAACCAGGGGGUGCCUACACAUUGAAGUAAUUUUUAACAUGCUGAAUUUCAGCAAAUAUAGAACAAAAUUUCAGCUAGUAGAAUGUUUAAGUUUAACAAUUACAAACAAAAACUUCAGCCAACACUAAGUUUACGCGAAAAACUUCAGCUAAAACAUGCUGAAGUUCAGCAAAUAGAGAACAAAACUUCAGCUAGUACGACUAUAGGACAAAAACUUCAGCUUAUUUAGUGCUGAAGUUUUUACAAAUGAACUAAAUAACUUCAGCAUCUUCUGCUGAAAUUUUUGAAAAAGCUUUACGACAAAACUUCAGCUAAAUAUGCUGAAGUUCAACAAAUAGAGAACAAAACUUCAGCUAAUAGAAUGCUUAAGUUCAUCAAUUACAAACAACUUCAGGCCCGUCUACUAGAAUGCUGAAGUUUGCGUGAUUGACUUUGCUACUUCAAGUCCGUAUGCUUGAAGUUUAUGUUGCAAAGCGGGUAUAAGUUAAAACGUGAUCCAAAAAAUGGGUAUAAAUUAGGGGUGGGCGUUCGGUAUUUCGGUUCGGUAUGUAUGAAUUUCGGUUCGGUAUUUCGGUAUUCGGUUUAUCAAUUGUAUAUACCAAAUACCGUACCAAAAUAUUUCGGUACGGUUCGGUAUUUACUAUUUUGGUUCGGUACGGUUUCGGUUUAACAAUCAAUGAAUAUUGAAUAAUCAAUGCUAAAUGCUAACGCCUAACAGUGCACAACUGCAGUCUGCAUAUGCAGUCAUGCACAAUUGGAACUUGGAAGAGGAAUCACAAAUGCAAUUUUUUCAGUCAAUGUUUGCACUUUGCACAACUGCACAAUGUGCACAAGUUUGAAAACACUGAAAAGCCUGCACAAUGCACAUUGAAAACACUGAAAAAUUUGCACAAAUUUGGAAGAGGAAGCACAAAUUUGCAAGUUUGCAUCUGCAGACAACAACUUCACAAUCUGGCAACUGCAGAUGCACACUUGCACGCCAGAUCUGGCAAUCAACUUAUUAGUUAACACUUAACACUCACAGUGCAAUAAAAACACAGUCCAAACUUAAACACAUGGCAGCUGAACACUUAAGCUGUUAAACAGUUAAUUAAACUGCAGAUGCUAACUUGCACAACUGGCAACUGCAGUCUGCAGAUGCUAAACACAUUAACCCAGUGCAAUAAAAACAAUCCAACAAAUGCAGUGUUUGCACAAUCGAAAUUUUAAAGUGUUUGCACUUUGCACAAUAUGCACAACUGCACAUGGCUCAUGGCUGAAAGCCUGAAACAAGAAAGCAUAUCAUUCUGAUUUCUGCAGACAACAAUUUCACAAUCUGGCAAGUGCAGAUGCAAACUGCAGUCUGCAGAUAAAUUGAACACUUAAAACUGUAUUCCCGAUAAAUGGUAGCUGAACACUUAAAACUGUUAAACAGUUAAACUGCAGAAACCAGAAAGAAUAGGCACAACUGCAGUCUGCAAAUGCUAAACUGCAGUCCAAACUACAGUCUGUAGACAACAAACUUGCGAACUUCUCCGUUAUCUUCUUUCACCACAAAGUAUUCCCAAAUAUCGGAGCGUUGAGCAGUAGCACGGGGCAUGAUUGCACUUGAACUUGAACCUAAAAAAAUAUAAAUCAUAUGUUAGAAUAUUAUUGUUUGAUGAUAAUAAAACAAAACUACAAACUAUUAAGUAUAUCAUUAUCACCAAACAAAUAGAGUAUUAAAAUAACCCCUCAAGAUGCAAGUUGCAACUAUACAUCAAACAAUGCUAGUAGUGCUUCCAUUAUUUUCCAUAUCUAAAGAUAAUACGACCAAAUAUGUCAUACAAAUGAAAAGGCAUGAUAUAUUAUUUUGAGUUAAAAUACAAACAAAAUAUUAAAGCUUACCAAGCUCGAGUUCCUCAAGAUACUUCAAGUCUUCUUCAACACUAAUAAGAUUCUUCUCUUCUCUAAUCCAAUCUUGAACACAAAUAAGAGAUUGUACACAUUUAGUAGUCAAUGAACUCCUAAAUGAAUCAAGAAUACGGCCACCAGUGCUAAACGCGCAUUCCGACGCCACACUAGAAAUUGGAAUUGCCAACACAUCACGAGCCAACUCCGAAAGAAUAGGAAAUCUAGGAGCAUGUGUUUUCCACCAACUCAAGAUAUCAAAUUCUUCACUAAAAGGCUCUUGUUCUUCACUAAUGUAUUUAUCCAACUCCGAUUUAGCACCCCCACUUCCAUUGUCUUCCUUUUGUUUCUUUAAGCUAAGCUUAGUCCUAAUUUUUGAUGCACUUAUAACACUCCCACUAGGUGUCUUAGGUGUGUUGUUAGAUGAAGUAGAACUAGAUGGAUAUUGAUGACAAGAUUCGGUUGAAUACUUUUUUAGAUACUCCCCAAACAAAGAAUUCAUAUAAGCAUACACCUCAACAUUUAUUUUCUUCUCUUUUUCCUCCCCAAAAAGUUCUUCAAGUGCUCCCUCAACAUAUUCAAAUUUGUUACGUGGAUGCAAGACAGAAGCAAUAAAAAUCAUUUUAUUCAUCUUUUCAGGUUCACCCCAAUACUUCUUGAACUUUUCUUGCAUUUGCUCAGCCAUUUUCUCAAAUGCCCAUCCUCAAUAGUUAAAUACAUUUUCAAAUGACAAUAAAGUUCAGAUACAUCCUCAAAAUGAGAAUUACAAGUGACAUAACGGGAACCUGAAACUUUUUUAGUUAGCUCGUGAAAUCUUGCAAGAAACUCUAUAACAUUCCUCACAUUCACCCAAUCAUCAGAUUCAAGAGGACCUGCAUUACCACCAUCUUCACAAAGAUGAGAACAUUGAUAUGCAGAAAAUCCAUCAUCAAAAAGAUUCUUGUCAAAGGCUUUUUCAAAUUGUUGUGUUGUAUCCAACAUCAAAUAGGUGGAAUUCCACCUGGUAGGAAGUAGGAACAUCCAAACACAACAUUUUGGUACAUUCUACCUUUACAUGUGCNNNNNNNNNNNNNNNNNNNNNNNNNAACUUCCAAUCCCUAUCAAUGAAGUGGGCUGUCAAACCCAUAUAAUUUAUUCUUUGUAAUGAAGUCCAAGUGUCUGUUGUUAGGCAAAUUUUUGGAUGUGCUUCUCUAAAAGAACUUUUUAGAUUUUCCCUCAAUUCACCGUAAACUUCAUAACAGUUCCUUGUUAUUGUUCUACGAGAAGGAAUACGAAAUAGUGGUUGAGUUUUUCUCAUAAACUUUUUAAAGCCUUCAUUUUCUACAAAGCUAAAUGGUAGUUUAUCAGUAACUAUCAUCUCAAUUAAGGCCCUCCUAACCACUUUUUGAUCAAAUUUCCAAAUUGAUCCUUCAUCAGUUUGACAAGAUUGAAAAUUUAGUUUUGUUUGACUAUUAUCUUCUGCAAUUUUAAGUGGGUAUUCUUUGCAUCUAAGCAAAUGAUUCUUCAAUCCUGUUGUUCCAUUCUUAGAUGAAUUAGCAGCAUAAGCUUGUUUACAAUAUCGACGUCGUGCUUUCCCAACCCCAUUAACCUCAAAUUUAUCAAAAUGGUUCCAAACGUCAGACCUAGGUUGCAUUGCUUUCCUUUUCUUGGAAUCUUCACUAUCAAUGUUGUUGGUGUUACUAUCUACCGUAAUAGGUAAACUUUCAGUAGAACCAACAUCACUUACUUUACUUGUAUCUUCCAUCUAUACAAAAUUAAACAAAUAUAAACAUAAAUUAACAAUCAAUAAAUUAACUAAUAACUAUCUUGCUAUCAAUAACAAUUAACUAAUAAGUACCUUGCUACCUUACAAAAUUAAACAAAUACAAGUAUUAUCUACCUUGCUACCAAAGUAACAUGAGUUUUCUUAUGUGUGCACAUUAUAAGUCUAGGAUUAUCAUUUUCACUUUUCAGUGGUUUUUAGUUAUCUUCAAGUAUUAUCAUUUUCUGACUUUUUGAAUAUCAAUAACAAUUUCCUGUAACUUAGAAUUUGCUUUAGAAACAUUAUUCUUGAUAGUUUCUAAGGUCUUGAUUACAUCAAUCAUAAUUGUUACACCAAUUCUUGAUAGUCACUGACAAUAGAGCUGAUGUAACACCAUUGAGAACUCCAGCUCAGCUGAGAAGCUAAGAGAGUGACUAAAUCUUUUCUUGAAAUUCUAGAAGCCAACAUACUAGAAGAUACUGUAUUUCAUGAUUUUCAAAGAGAGGAGUCUGCUAUUGUUAGUUACUCAUAUGAAUAUGAUAUGGUAAAGUUCAAAAAAUCACACCUAAACAAGGUAAUACAACCAAAAGAAAGAGUAUUAACGUGAUACGAAUGAUAUUUUCCUACUAAAGGGAAAAGCUCGGAACAUCAGUUCAUUCAAUCAGCAAUACAACCAAAAGAAAGCGAAACAUACCUUUGAAAUUGAAAUUGAAUCGAGCUCGAUAGACUGGAACAUAACAGCAGCGUCUUUGACACUUCGUUUGCCCGGAAUCGAAUCGAGCUGGAAAUCGCCGCCUAUAACCCUAAAAUAGUUUGAUGCAGAAACUCAGAAAUUAAAUCUCAACAAAAGCCUCAGAAAGUAGUCGAGUACUGGGAUGAGAUCAUGAGAAUGAGAUGAGACUUACAAAACUUACAAAAGUAGUGAAGUUAACUGGUGAAGAUGAGAUGAGACUCGAGCUCGAAUGUCGACUGGUCGUAACUCGAUUCGCAGACUGAUAUCCUAGAGUCGCAGUCGAUUCUCGUCUUCUUCUUCUCGUUCUCGAUGAUAUCUCCUAACUCCUAAGCAAUAAGCACAGAAGGCUGAAGCAGUAAGCAAACCCUAUCUCGAAUUCUCGAUGAUAUCUCCCACCGGGCAAAUGAAGUGUCGAAGACGGAAGAACAGUAGAACACUAGUGUCUGCUAGGGUAAUCGUCUAAUCGAUUAUUUGAGGCAGAAGAUUGGGCUUGGGUUGGGAGUUGGGGGAGAUGGGUCUGGCUGGGUGUCCGUGUGGGGCUGUGGGCCUAUAAAAUAUGUAAUUGGGUUUGGGCCAUAUUUCGGUAUACCGAAAUAGUUAAAUUAUAAAACCGAAAACCGAACCGAAAUACCGAAAUACCGAAAAUUCAGUACCGAAUUAGACCGAAAUACCGAAAAACCGAAACCGAAAUACCAAAUUAAUUUGGUUCGGUUCGGAAUUCGGUUUUUCGGAUUUUAUGUCCACCCCUAGUAUAAAUGCAAAUCCCCGAUUUUACUCAUGUAUUCGGGGCCCUUAGGCUUGGCCCAUAUUUGGCAGUAGAAAGCCCGUCCAUUGGAUACUCUCAUACUCAUCCAAAUUCAACUCCAAAGCAAAGCUCUGUGAACGUCCCUCCCCCACUGAGGAAUUUAGUCCAAGUCCAAAUUUUGGUAAUGUUCAUAUCUUUUACUUUUUAAAACAAAAUAUCAUAUCAUCACAAAAACUACUUCACCAUUCAGUUCAAUUUUGACUCUCAUCCUAAUAUGAGUGCGAAGUAAAUCUAGGACAACGGAUAGAUUUCAUUUUUAGAAUUCGAACAUGAGACCUCUAGUUAAGAAUGAAUGAGUACUUACUUCCCAAACUAUCCUCGUUGGUCACUAUAUGGAUUUAAUGGUAUAGUAAAAUAUUCGUAAAGCAACUUAUCAUUGGUUUCUCGAUCCAAAAUAGUAUUCUGGAAGGUUUUUUAAUAGGAAAAAGGGACAAAUUUAUCCAUGUACUAUUGUAAACAGUUUAUAUUUUCCUGUCCUUAUUUUUUUGGUCUAAAUCUACCCUUUAGCAAAGUAAUAAAAAAUAUCCUUAUUUCUAAAUCUUACCUUCUCUCAAUUCGUAUGUAAAUUUAAAUAUCUAAGUUGACCAAAAGAGUAAGGUUUUUUUUUUCUAGUAUGAGCAGCCAGAUAUUGCAAAACUAUAAUUACUUUGAUCUUAUAUGUUGUUUGGCAAUUAAAUAUAUUUCCCUAAGAGGCUAAGACCUUCAGGAAAAUAUUAUCAAAUGAAUUGUUGGAAAAUGCCCGUAAAUAGUCUUAUUACCGAUUGUAUUCACUAAAACAAGAGUCACCUAUAUAUUGUACAAUAAAUUUGCGUCGAGAAAAUAAAAUGAAGACCGAAAAAUAUUGCAACAAUCAUCGUAUUUGAUUUCAAAUAUAUGAGUGUACAAUCUCUAUAAAUCCUCUGAUUCUUUUUUCCAAUAGUAAAUAAAUUCAAGGGCCUUUGAGCUUGAUCUUGAAUAUGUAGUUGCUGCCACGAACGAUGAUCUUGGAUUCAACUAGCACGAACUUUUUGAACUCGUACUCCUUGAAUCUUAAUUUGUUCUUCGUUCUUGAGCUUGAACUUGAUUUGUUCUUCGUUCUUGAGCUUGAACUUGAUUUGUUCUUUGUUCUUGAGCUUGAAGCUUGAAACUUGUAGAGAAAUUUGCGGUGUUUGAUCUACGAGCUCUCUCUUACUUCUUGUUAUAACUUCUGGUGUCUUUUCUAGGUUAUGAAGACCCAUAUUUAUAGUUGUGGGAGGGAAGAAUUAUGAUAAGAACAAAUUCUUUCCGACCAAUCAAGUUGAAGUGUGACAAGACCGCAUUUGAUUGGCUAGAACAUGUCAAUUGCACACACAACACGAUUUCAUUAGCCUUUUAAUGUGACUUGGCAUGCAAUAUCAUUUUGACACGUGGCAUGAUCCUAUUGGCUCUUCCACUUGACUUGGCGUGCCACGUCAUAUGACACAUGACACCAAACUGGACCUCUAGGAAGAUGACAUCUUGGGCUUAAUGAAGUGGGUUCAUCACUUUAGCUUAAUUAAAUGGGCUAGCCCAAUGGAUUAAGACUUGUUUAUUUAAUCCAUAUAUAUUGGACUUAUAUAAUUAAUUCAAUUAUACUAACCCACAAUACUUUUUUGGACUAAUAUAACUUGAAUUUAAAAUAUAAUCUAACUUGUUUUACAGAUUUAAAUCUAACAAAAUUUAAUUAUCUACAAAUGCCCCUACUUCAAGGUUUGUCGUAGUAUAAAUUUCAAGGACUAGACUUUGAAGUAUUUGUUGAAGACAAUUCGUAUUUUCCUUGGAAUGGCUUCAUCAGUGUCUCUUCUUAUAAUUAGAACACCUUAAUUGCAUUCUAUCUGGACCAAAAUAGUGACAGAUCCCAUUCGCCAUAAUUAAUCCUUUAACUAACUUUCCCUUUUACUUAAGCACCAAAAUUAAAAAUGAAUUCUAAAUGCCAAGCAAUCUUAGUUAAAGUGACACUGCAAGACUUCAAAAUUGACUUCUUAAUGGAGCACAUAGUUGAUCUACUACACGUGGCAGUUGCUAGAACAUAUGAAUUCAUCACAAUUUAUUAUUGUGUAGAUUCGUAUCACCACAAUUUUUAAUUCAAGUAGUACUCUGAAACACAUUUUUCCUUCUCCGACUACAAUUGUUAAUUUGAGUAGGAGUCAAAUUGUAGUAGCCCAUUCAUGUUGGAGACCAACCGUGAUAGCCGCCUUUAAUACUGAUCCCACAUCGGGACUUAGUUCUCAAUAGCCUACUCUAAUCAUAUACAUAAGGUUGCACUUUCUUCAACUCAUGAUCAACAAUUUUCAGUGCCUUUGACGCUUGUGAAGUAUCACCCAAGGUAAUUUCUUCUUCUAUUCUUGUACUUUUCUUCUUUUGCCAUUUUUUUAGGUCAAACAAGAAGGAUGUGCUCUUGUUUAACGAUAUGAUCCAUGCAUGAAGAAGACAAUCUUAGGGUAUGGGGGAUGGGUACUCAUCCUUGUCCGACUAUCGAAAAGAUUACUCUUAAUAUGACCCAACUAUCAGAGAGAUUACUCUCAAGGUGACCCGACUAUCGAAGAGAUUACUCUCAAUAUAGCCCGAAUAUCGGAGAGAUUACUCUCAGGAUGACCCGACUAUCGGAGAUAUUACUCUCAAGGUGGCCCGACUAUCAGAGAGAUUACUUUCAAUGUGGCCCAACUAUCGGAGAGAUUACUUUCAAGAUGGCCCAACUAGUAGAGAGAUUACUCUUAAUGUGGCCUGACUAUCGGAGAGAUUACUCUCAAGGUGAUCCGACUAUCAGAGAGAUUACUCUCAAGAUGGCCCGACUAUCGGAGAGAUUACUCUCAAGGUGGCCCGACUAUCGUAAAGAUUACUCUCAAGAUGACCCGAAUAUCGGAGAGAUUACUCUCAAUGUGGCCUGAUUAUCAGAGAAAUUAUUCUCAAGGUGUGACGGGAUGGAUACUCAUCCCCGCCCAAAAAUUGGAGGCCACUUCAAAGAUGCAAAGGUCCAUACGGCAUAUCGAAGUAUAAGUCCAUGGCAACAAAUAUAUGGAGAAAUCAUCAACAUCAUAUGGAGGACAAAUCCAAAAUAGCAUAUAUAAGGGUAAAUCCAUAAAUAGGCCAACUUAAGGUGCAAAGGGAUUUAAAUGUCCACCUUAAGAUUGAAAAGUUAUAGUUCCUUUUAAGGACAAACCCGCAAAGAGGCCAACUUAAGGUGUAAAGGGACUAACAUGUCCACCUUAAGAUUGAAAAAUUGUAGUUCCUUUUAAGGAUGAACCCGUGAAGAAGCCAACUUAAGGUGCAAAGGGACUAACAUGUCCACCUUAAGAUUGAAAAAUUAGAAAGCUUCAACUCGGAGACUUGGUGGACUAGAUGACAUCAACUUGAACACUUAGCGGACUUUGCAGACUUCAACUUGAAGACCGACAAACUUGAGGAUUUGAUGAACUUGAAGAUUCGACAGACUUUGACGCUUCAACCUGAAGACUUGAGGGAUUAAAUAUUUCAACUUGAAGGCCGGCGAGUUUGAGGACCUCAACUUGAAGAUUGACAGACUUGAAGACUUGGAGGCUUAAAUAUUUCGACUUAAAGACCGAAGAACUUGAAGACCGACAGACUUAAAGGUUGGACGAACAUGAAGACAUAGUGAACCCCCAGACUUCAGUGCAAAUACUUGGUAGCCUCCUAAAAGAGUAUAAUCGUCCCAUUGAAGACACUGGUUUACCAUGGAGGCUUGCCCCUCUAAUUCAUAUGAGAUCCAAAAUUCAAUAGAAGAAUGAUAUUUCAGCCCGACUUUAAAGUGUUGAUUGAAUGGAUUACAUUUCAUCGUACUUCAUUUGGAACACGAUUGAGAGAUUAUGUAUCUUUUGAAUUUAUGCGACUAAACUCAGAAUGAAACUCUAAGCUGCCUACGUAUCUCGGUGAAGAGGAUCAAGUCAUACCGUAGUUCAUAAUGGGUGUCCUAACUUUUGCCUAGGCCGCCUCUUUCGAGGUUUUCAAUCUAGCGGACUUUUUUUUAGAACAUACACAAUUUAGAUUCAUACGGUCCAGAGGUGUAGGAACAUGCAGUUUAGGCUCAUGCAUCAAGGAGCGUAGUAAUUUGAAGAUGAUUUAGCUUAUGUUUUGAAAUGCUUUACAACUUGACGACUUGCUCAAUUUUGAAGAGCUUUGCAACUUAAAGCUCGGCUCAAAUUUUAAGAGCUUCGUGACUUGAAGAUUUAUCUUAAAGUUGAAGAGCUUUGCAACUUGAAGUCUAACUUGAAUCUGAAGAGCUUUCGACUUGAGUCUUUGCUCGAAUUUGAAGAGCUUUGUGACUUGAAGUCUUUGCCCGAAUUUGAAGAGUUUUCGACUUGAGUAUUUUCUCGAAUUUGAAGAGCUUUACAUGUUGAAGAUUUAGUUCAAAUUUGAGGAGCUUCGUGACAUACAAUAUGGGAUCAUGUGCCAAGAAACAUUAUAACUUGUUGUUUAUGCUCGUGCGUUGAAGAGCAUUAAAACUUGCAGUUUAGGCUCAUGCGUUGAGGAUCAUUAUAACUUGCAACUCGUGCGUUGAGGAGCAUGGUGACAUGCAUAGAUUCUUUGAUUUCAUUUUCAGAUGAAAACUUGUCCCCGUCCUCUCCUUCUUGUUUUUCUUCUUCGUCAUAAGGCUCAAAGAUAAUUAGCCUUUGGUCUCCACUUGUGGCCAUACGUAGUUCCAUAUCAUGAACAUGAGUUGCUAGUUCUUCAAAUGUUUUAUGCUUUAUGCCUUGUAAGAUAUAGCGAAGACUCUAAUGCAUGCCUUAAAUGUAUAUUUCGAUGCCAGAAGUUUCGCUAAGGGUAUUUUUACAAUUUAGGCUUAAGCUCCUCUAGCGAUUGAUGAAGUCAAUAACUAUCUUAUACUUUCUUUGAUGAGCGUUUGUAAGUUCGAUCAUCCUUACGAUAUGUCUGGUGCUAUAAAAACGAUUGAGAAACUCUUGCUCCAGCUGCUCCCAGCUAUUGAUAAAAUUAGGUUCGAGAUCUGUGUACCAAUCGAAUGCAUUACCUUUGAGAGAACGAACAAACUGCUUGACAAGAUAAUCAUCGAAUGUUCCAGCAUUGUUGCAAGUUUCAACAAAGUGUGGUACAUGUUAUUUUGGAUUUCCCUUACCGUUGAAUUGUUUGAACUUAGGAGCUUGAUAACCAAUAUGCAUCUUCAAGUUAUCAAUUCUUUGCGUAUAUGGCUUUGCAUAUGUGAGAGAUAAUUUGGACAAUGACUCAGGCUUAUCUUUGAUAGCCUCCAUGAUGAAGUCCUUCAAUUUCUCAACGGGAACAGACCUUCAAUGGAGACUUGGAUCUCCUUGGCUAUCGUUGCUUGCAUUUUGGAAGAGUCUUCUUUUUUUUGCGACCCUUGAAAAUUUAAAGGUGUUUAUGUGGAUUCUCCUUCUACUAUGCUAUCCAAUUUAUUUGUUAACUUGGAAAGUUUAGCAACUUGAACGUGCAUGCGCUUUGACAAGCCUUCAACUGCUUUCGUCAAAUUUGUAAGUUGUUCUUCUAUGGUAGAAGAUUCAAUAACCAUUGCUUGCAUAAUCAACGUAGAGGAUGAAGAAUUAUAUAGAUCAUUAUUGGGAUAGAGCUUAGAGGUCGCAUUACUGGAGGCUAGAGUAGAUCCAGCGCUGAAGUCAUCAUCAUCAUCGACUUGGAUGAAUGGUUUCUUUGACUUAGAUAAACUAAGUUGGGCAAAAAUCUUUUCAAUCCUUUCGGUGACUUCAUUCCCUUUUUGGAUCGUGCUUACAAAAGAUCUCAUUCCUUUUGAGGAUGAAGAUCCCAAAAUAAGGGUUGAUACGGAUGACACUUGGAGUGUUUGUUGUCCUAAAGAGCUUGCUUUGCUCCUUGUAACUGGUCCAAAGCUUCCAAAAGUAACAUCGAGGAUACUUUCUAUAUCAGUAUAGAACCUAGAAUUAGUAGCCUUGACGAAAGUUGAUAUGGAGUUGAUUUUCUUUGAAGUCAUUUCAACGUUCUUGAACUUUGGUGAUUGAAAAGUUGAGAUGAGAGGUAGAGAUUGUCCCACUGGGCAUGCCAGAAUUUGUAGACAAUAAAUUUGCAUCGAAAAAAUAAAAUCAAGACAAAAAAAUAUCGCAACAAUCGCAAUAUUUUAUUUCAAAUAAUAUGAGUGUACAAUCUCCAUGAAUCCUCUGAUUCUUCUUUCCAAUAGUAAAUAAUUCAAGGGCCUUUGAGCUUGAUCUUGAAAAUGUAGUUGAUGCCAUGAACGAUGAUCUUGGAUUUAACUAACACGAACUUUGAUUUGAACUCGUACUCCUUGAAUUUUGAUUUGUUCUUCGUUCUUGAGCUUGAACUUGAUUUGUUCUUCGUUUUUUAGCUUGAACUUGAUUUCUUGAACUUGAACUUGGUUACUUGAAGAUUGAAACUUAUAGAGUAAUUUUGCGGCAUUUGAACUACGAGCUCUCUCUUACUUCUUGUUAUGACUUUUGGUGUCUUUUUUGGGUUAUGAAGACCCCUAUUUAUAGUUGUAAGAGGGAAGAGUUAUUGUAGACAUGUGAUUUUUGACCCUCCCCAAGAUUUUUUAUAUUUUAGCAUGUAAAUAUUUAAUUUAGGCCUAAUAUCGUUAUUUCAACUAAUGUUGACUCUUUUACUUUAUUUUAUUACAAGAAAAUAAAAAUUACAAAAAAUAGUUUUAUUAAUAUUUUGUAGUCAUUUUUAAUCUUAAAAAAUACCAAAAAUAGUUUUGUUUAAACGGUCAGUCUUAUUUUAAUGGCUAUUUUACUUAAGUAGGAUUAAUUGGUAAAUAAGAUCGUAUUUUGAGUCUUGUUUACGGUGAAAGAAUAAAUUUUGGGCUUAAACAUCCAAUUUUUAGGUCUAAUUUUUGGACCUAGCUCAUAAUUCCCAAGCCCAUAAUUCCUAGGCCCAUACUCCUUAACCUAAAUAUAACCCUAAAACCCUAAACCUAUAAAAAGAAGCUAACACCUAACGCCUAAGGGAGCUGAAAAAUACAAAAAAGACUAGACCUAGAGAUAUAGAGAUCAGCGCCGUUUUCAAUACAUAGACCCCCUAGCCUUGGCUUCUUCUUCCUUGAUUUUUCUCUACAAAGCAUCAACUACAUAUACAAAGAACACAGCAAUCAGCCAAAAAAAUUACAAAAAACAAUGACCUAGACCCUAGAUAUACAAGGAGUGUUGUUUUUGGACUGAGAACCCUCCCCCAUCGGUCUUCUUCUCCAAACAUCAACAACCAUUUGACCUUGAGGACCUUCAACCAAGAGACGAACCCAUCGUCACUUCUUCUUUAGGUACCCGAAACAGCUAUGAAAGAAGCUCGCCACAACCAGCCACCUCCCUUCACCCAUCGUUGUUUCUGUUUCUUUUCGUUCAUAGCAGCUCGCCGGAAAACGAACUGAAACGACCACCAAAAUCAACCUAGACAGCCUGCUUCUGCCCCGUUCUAACGCAGUCGAAGUUCUGUCCAUUUUCGAGUUCGUCGGUAAGUUUCGAUACUCCGUCUGAGGGCUGGUUCAUGGUCUUAUCCGUUUCUGCUUGUUCAAGUUAUUAAGAAUCAAGUUUGUUGGAUAAGGAAAUGUUGAAGUUUAAAGAGGUCAUGUUCUAACUUUACCUAUCUUUCUAAUUUCCAGAUCUUGUGUCAUGGUUUUUUGAAUUAUUUGUUUGACUUCAUUUAUUUCCGUCUGACUUGUUUGCUUACGAGACUUGCUUUCUUUAGUUAACUGUAAAUAACUAGCUAUUAUAUUUUCUAUUUUUUUCUUGGAAUUAAGGGAAUAUGUGAUUCUUAGAAUGUUGCCUUGUCUAUAUAUUAAGAAUUAUAUAGGUUCAAUUGUUAGGCCGAAUCCAUGAAAUUUUCCGUUAUGUUAGUAAGGAUCAUGUACAUAAUUAUUUAUCUCUGUAGGCUAUCUUUUGGUGGAAAUCUAUGUAAAUAUUUUCUCUUGUCUAUACAUGAAAUGCCAAGAUUUAGCUACUGUCCACAUUAUAAAGCAUGUUCUAAGAUUCUUUUAUUACAAGAUUGUAGAAAUCAUGUCCAUAAGAAUUGUGUUUUCAACCGGAAAUGCUAUAACAAGUGGAGCUUUGAAUCAUUUCUUUUAGUUUUUUUAUUUUUUAUUUUACCUUAGGCUACUAAUAGUCCGGGGUGUGCCAUCCACGAUUUAAUCAUACAUGGCCUCAUAUUAAUCUCAUAACCUAAAUAUAAAAAUGACAAAUUCUCGUAGUUUGCUUUAGGUGCGUUAAUUAAAUAAAGUGUCAUAGCUAUGGGUAUGGUUCCCGUGACGUAAGUAUGACACACAAUUUCCAAAUCCGGGUGUGCAUUUUAUGUGACUCGACUUCAAUUCCCAAUGAUGUUUAAUAAAUAAAUAUGUCGUGAACUGCGGGUGCAUUUCAUAUAGUGUGGUUUACGACUUAUUUUCAAAAGCGGACAAGUGUAUGACAAUUAUGAAUUUUCCUAAAAAAUAUUAAAAGCGGUUAGAAAGUUAAAAAAUGCACAUAGGUUUAAAAUGUGUAAUUAAUCAGAUAAUUAAGUCCAUAAUAAUAAUUGAGCGACCGUGCUAGAACCACAGAACUCGGGAGUGCCUAACACCUUCUCCCGGAUUAACAGAAUUCCUUACCCGGAUUUCUGUGUUUCGCAGACAUUAAUACACAGUCAAAUUUCCUCGAUUCGAGAUUCUAAACCGGUGAUUUGGGACACCAUAAAUUAUCCCAAGUGGCGAAUCUAAUUUUUAAACAAAUAAUCCCGUUUCGAUUGUCACUUAAAUUGGAAAAAAACUCCCUUAUACCCUUCCGGGGGGUAGUAAAAGGAGGUGUGACAGCUCUGGCGACUCUGCUGGGGAAAAGAACCCAGAAUCUCUGGUCCAGGGUUCAGAAUUCGAGCUUAGAAUAACUGUUAUGGUUGGCUUUCAUUUAUUAUCUGAGUUUUAUAUGUUUGAGCCUAAUGUGCUAAAUGCCAUUUUUUACCGAUUUGAUAUUGUUUGGACUGUAUAUAAAUUAUUACGAAACCUUCUUCUCUCUGAGUCUUCUAAAUCAUCUGGGAAGUGUGCGCUUCGUGUGACUUCUUUUCUAUUAGAGUCAUAUUCUAAUUUUAGAANNNNNNNNNNNNNNNNNNNNNNNNNNNNNNNNNNNNNNNNNNNNNNNNNNNNNNNNNNNNNNNNNNNNNNNNNNNNNNNNNNNNNNNNNNNNNNNNNNNNNNNNNNNNNNNNNNNNNNNNNNNNNNNNNNNNNNNNNNNNNNNNNNNNNNNNNNNNNNNNNNNNNNNNNNNNNNNNNNNNNNNNNNNNNNNNNNNNNNNNNNNNNNNNNNNNNNNNNNNNNNNNNNNNNNNNNNNNNNNNNNNNNNNNNNNNNNNNNNNNNNNNNNNNNNNNNNNNNNNNNNNNNNNNNNNNNNNNNNNNNNNNNNNNNNNNNNNNNNNNNNNNNNNNNNNNNNNNNNNNNNNNNNNNNNNNNNNNNNNUUUUAAACCUAGAAUAACUCAGCCUCAUGUCGGAUCCCUAGUAGGAACGUUUGUUUGCAUCAUGUGCAUUUGACUUUGGGGACUCAACACAGAGGUUGGGUUUUCUAGGACAGAUGUACCCAAAAAAUAAAAGACCAUCCUGAUGCAUUCUAUGUGCAACAUGUUGCAAUCUUCAAGGGUGAAAGGAGUCAUUUGGCGGACCAAUGAGGGUUGAGGAUAAAUGAAAAAUAGGGUAAAAUGUGAAAAUAAAGCAAGUAGGGCCCAUUUAUAUUUUUCUUUUACAAAAAAUCCAUAAAGAUUGUGCACUUUCCCAUCAUUUUCCCAAAAAUUAAAAAAAAAAGGAAAAAAGAAAAAUCCAAAAAGAGUUUACAUAUUUCAUCAUUUUUCAAACAAAAAAAAUAGACAAAAAUUAUAUUUUCUCUAAAUUAGUUGCCUUUUUUAAUUUCUCGCCCGUAUCCAAUCUGCCCGAACUUCGCAUACCUGAUUCUCGUCUUUCGGGGCGUGAUAUGCACAUAGAGUCCGGUCUUCUUAGUGAGUCUUAGGUUCUUGGCUUCGCGGUAUCUUAGCCGAAUCUUGCAUUUUUAACCACUUUUAGCCACAUAGGUUAAUUUUAGAAAAAUAGUCAAUCAUGUCUUGCAUAUGUCCAACAGGAAGGGUUAUUGUCUCACAUAGCAUUCUAGGUUUUUAACUUUAUGUGGUCUUAAUUUUAUCAUAUAGGUGGAUCUACUUACCGAAGUUUGGGCAUGACAGACGCCUUAGGACCAUCCAAUCAGGAUCACUCAUUCAGGAGUUUGCUUGAGGAGAUUUUCUUUAUGUUUUUAGUCUGUUGUUCUUUUUUAUAUCAUCUUUUACCGUCUAGUUUUGUACAGUAAUGUCGAGUCUUUUAGGUGAUGUUAGAGUUUGUCAUAGUCUAGUUAAGUUUGCCGAGUCUUUUGUUAUUGUAUUUCUUAUUUUGUAUUUGGAAAUGUGUUACAAGUCAAAAAAAAGGAAAAAAAAGAGAUUUUGUGUUUUAUAUUUCCGUUAG
rnacentral:lncRNA from 1 species